AGAAACUAUACCUAUAAACAUACAAUACAUGAUGAGAAUCAGAUCAUACAAUCAGGAUCAUACAGUCAAGGAUCAAAACAGUCAGGAAUCAGAGAAACAAGAUGUGAAAAGAUAUGUUGUUCUAUCUGCCUGCCUGUCUGUUCUGUAUGUCGUUCUGUUUGCUUGUGUGUUGUUCUAUUUGUCUGUCUGCCGUUCUAUCUUUCUGUCAUUCUGUCUUUUUGUCUGUCUGUCUGUUGUUCUACCUAUCUGUCUACAUUGCUGUUGUUCUGUCUGUCUGUCUGUCUGUCUGCAUAUCUGUUGUUCAGUAUGUUGUUUUAUCUGUCAUUCUAUCUGUCUGUACGUCUGUCUGCCUUCUAUUGGCCUGUCUAGAUGUUUAUUGUUCUGUCUGUCUGUCUGUGUGUUUGUUGUUCUGUAUGUCAUUCUCUCUGUCUGUCUGCCUGUCUGUCAAUCUAUUUUUGUAUGUCUGCCUGUUUUUCUACCUGUCUGUCUGCAUUGCUGUUCUUCUUACUGUCAUUCUCUUUGUCUGCAUAUCUGUUAUUCUGUAUGUUGUUCUAUCUGUCUGUCAUUCUAUCUGUCUGUAUGUCUGUCUGUCAUUCUAUCAGUCUGUCUAUACAUGUCUGUCAUUCUAUCUGUAUGUCUGUUGUUCUUUAUGUCCUUCUCUCUGUCUGUCAUACUAUCUUUUUGUAUGUCUAUCUGUCGUUCUAUCUGUCAGUCUAUACAUGUCUGUCAUUCUGUUUGUCUGUCUGUCUGUUGUUCUGUAUGUCCUUCUCUCUGUCUGUCAUACUAUCUUUUUGUAUGUCUGUCUGUCGUUCUUUAUGUCCUUCUCUCUGUCUGUCAUACUAUCUUUUUGUAUGUCUGUCUGUUGUUCUGCCUGUCUGUCUGCAUGGCUGUUGUUCUCUGUGUCGUUCUGUCUGUUUGUUAUUUCUGUCAUUCUGCCUGUCUGCAUGUGUCUGUCAUUCUAUCGGUCUGUCUACACGUCAGUUGUUCUGUCUGUCUUUCUGCACUGCUGUUGUUAUGUCAUUCUAUUUGUCUAUAUAUUGUUCUGUCUAUUUGUCUCUCACAAAUGGUCUGUCUGUCUGUUGCUCUGUCUGUCUGUGCUAGACAAAUUAGAUAAUUAUGCAGUUGUAUAGUGUUCUUUUAUUAAUAAUAAAAAGUUUUGCUGAGG
ensembl:lncRNA